AAUUUUCAGAAUAAAUUCAAGCAUAUUUCGACUUGUUUCUAAUAGCAUGUGAUCGGAUUCAUGUCUUGGGAUGUCAUUAAAUGCAUAGUUGUGUUUUAGUUAAAACUUUAAUCUGCAGGUCAGUGUUGCUAGCCGAGACUAUAUUCACCUAAUAGUGAUUUUAAUUCACCUAAUAGUCUUAGUCAGAAACCCAACUAGUAAAGGUUAUGUAAUAAUAGCCGAGACUAUAUGUUACAUGUUAACAAUGUUCGUAAACUUGUAAUGCAUGUUCAAAUUCAAUAUUCUAUAGCUUUUAAUGAUUCAUGUUUAGGUAGACAGGUAUGUUAAGUAUACGCUGAGUAUCGAUCACAGCUUUUGCAUGAAAUACCCUAGGUUCUAGAUGUUCUGUGCCAGGGGAUAAGU
rnacentral:lncRNA from 1 species